rnacentral:sRNA from 1 species
CAGAGCUCACGUGAUAGCUCAUAACUGUAUGUAACUCCUGGGAUACAUCGUGAUUUUUAGGAAGGCUGGACUGAAGCAAAUGUUAAAGAGGAUGGGAGACCCCGAGUCGCUCCACACCCCUGCUGCUGGUGAUGGAGGCUCAACCAGCCAGGUCUCCUCCAAGUGUCGCCAUGGGACCCGAGGCCACAGAGCAUCGGGGGAGAGUGAAGCACAACGGUCUCGUCAGAGGUGCCAGCCUCUUUAAUGAAGAUGUCUUUUCCUGCUAUAGUUUGGACACAAGCACACAAGUUCACUACGGUGCUGUGAGCAGAACCCAGGGCUUCAUGUCUACUAGGUCUGGCAACCGCAGCUGCUGUGAGUUCCUCAAUGCAGCCUCCCCAUCAUGUUCAGAAGACAGUUUCUCCUCAGUCUCCUAACAUCUGGCUCUUACAAUCUGUCCCCCCCUCUUCUGAGACGAUCCCCGAGCCUUGGGGAGGGUGUGUGAUGGCUACAGCUUUAUGAAUAUAUGGGGACCAAGAGGGCAGCUCCACUGGUGAAGUGGUGAGAGCUGGGCGUGGUUUCAUGCACUUGCCAUUCAGUGCUAGGGAGGCAGAGGUGUGGUAUCCCUGAGGCUCACUCUUCCCCACUAUGUUCUGCCUCUCCACAGGCAUAAAAGCAGUGGAGCCAAUGGGGGACUAUCUAGAUGGAUAGAUCCUGAGAAAUAACCAUGGUUGUUCUCUGGCUGUCACCCUCUUGAACACACACACACACACACGUAUGCACACACACAUGCACAAAUACACAUAGACACAUGC